rnacentral:rRNA from 1 species
AGAAGCGAGAGUGACGGUACCUGCAGAAGAAGCACCGGCUAACUACGUGCCAGCAGCCGCGGUAAUACGUAGGGUGCGAGCGUUAUCCGGAAUUAUUGGGCGUAAAAGAGCUCGUAGGCGGUUUUGUCGCGUCUGUCGUGAAAGUCCGGGGGCUUAACCCCGGAUCUGCGGGGGGUACGGGCAGACUAGAGUGCAGUAGGGGGAGACUGGAAUUCCUGGUGUAGCGGUGGAAUGCGCAGAUAUCAGGAGGAACACCGAUGGCGAAGGCAGGUCUCUGGGCUGUAACUGACGCUGAGGAGCGAAAGCAUGGGGAGCGAACAGGAUUAGAUACCCUGGUAGUCCAUGCCGUAAACGUUGGGCACUAGGUGUGGGGACCAUUCCACGGUUUCCGCGCCGCAGCUAACGCAUUAAGUGCCCCGCCUGGGGAGUACGGCCGCAAGGCUAAAACUCAAAGGAAUUGAC